GGCAACCUGGGUUCCGGAAGCCGGAGAGCUGGAGCUUUGAAGCCACCCCGGUCAAAGGAUGCUGAGUCCGGAGCGCCUAGCCCUACCGGACUACGAGUAUCUGGUUUUAACAGUGUAUGCCAGGGAACACACAUUCUCUUUCGAGAAUUCAGCUUCGUCCAAGCCACCCCCCACAAUAGGGUAUCAUUUUUACGGGCCUUCUGGAGAUGCUUCCGAACUGUGGGCAAAAAUGGCGAUUUGCUGACCAUGAAAGAAUAUCACUGUUUGCUGCAAUUACUGUGUCCUGAUUUCCCGCUGGAGCUCACUCAGAAAGCAGCCAGGAUUGUGCUCAUGGAUGAUGCCAUGGACUGCUUGAUGUCUUUUUCAGAUUUCCUCUUUGCCUUCCAGAUCCAGUUUUACUACUCAGCUGCCCACCCCCAGCACUUGUCAAAGAGGCUCUUAGCAAUGUUCAGAGACUGACCUUCUAUGGAUUCCUCAUGGCUCUCUCAAAGCACCAUGGAAUCAACCAAGCCCUCGGAGCUUUGCCUGACAAGGGGGAUCUGAUGCACGACCCAGCAAUGGACGAAGAGCUGGAACGGCUGUAAGUGUCAAGU
rnacentral:sRNA from 1 species